UCAUUAAGAGUGGCUGAGGGACAGGCCCUGUGAAGCCCGACAACCUGCGUUUUGCAAGGUGCCAAUUCCUGCGGUAAAGCCGAGAGAUGA
rnacentral:ncRNA from 1 species